AUUAGCAGUAAUGGGAGUUGGUUUUAUAUGAAUUGCAGGGAAUUAGCACACUCCAUUUAAACAUUUGGAUAUACAGGUAAAUUUAACUUGCAGACCCUUAUUCCCUCUGACACAUACACAAAAAAAAAAAAAAAAAAAAAAAAAAGGAAAAAAAAAAGAGUUUGUUCCAAUGGAGCUUUCAUGCGUGUAUAAAUGCCAAGUGGGCAGUUUUUAAACAAACAAAAGAAAAGGGAAACUGCUAUCCCUUUCCCCCUCCGCUUAAAUCCCUUACCCGACUCCCUGCACAUACCAGUAGUUCGGCCACCCCUUCACCUCGGCAGCAUCCAGGUGAAUUAGAGUUUCGUUUGUAUCAAAGAGGUUGAGUUUUACUCCUUAGUGGCUGGUCGUGACUCAAAUCCUUUUCAGUCAGUAUUUUGAAAAGCUUAGACCACCACAGGCUUCUGUGCGAUGACGUGAAAAUCCAGUAGCUCCGAGAAAGAGUGUCGCACGUGCUGUAACACACUAACAACAACCCCAACUCCAGCGACACUUGGAUCUCACACGCCGGCGCAGGGAUCAGUUUCUGAUGAUUUUUCAAUGAGAUUUUUAUGUGUUUUAUUUGCAGGCCUAUUCUAUGCUCAACUAUACAAGUUUCUACUUUUCCUGUAUUAAAGUUAGGGUUCUUGCGAGACAAUAAUUCCGGCAAGGCAAUUUGAUUUCAACAAUUUUUCCAGCCUUUCUAUUCUUAUGGGGACAGGAAUUUGGAGUUGGAAAGUCAAGAAUUGCAAAAAUUGAGAAAAAGACCGUUUUGCUGGCCGUAGAACCGUUCUACUAACCGCAGAAUGUGUAGCGGAAUUGGACAGAAAUUUUGGACCAUUUUGCUGACCAUUCUGCUAACUUUGACCAAUUAUGCUAACCCAUUCUUCUGACGGCAAAACGAGUCUGCUAGUAGCAAAAUGGGCAGAGGGAUAUUUUUGGCAGAUUUUGUAAAAUAUUUUCUUUGGGCUAUAAAUAGAACUUUAGGUCAUUUUAGCCAUGGCAACUCAUACACCAACUCACAUGAACUCAUUCUCCAACACAUUUUUGAGAGCUUAGAAGAGGGAGAACAAGCUUUGGAAGCUAGUGUUUCAUCACCCAUCACCUUGGAAGUGAAUAUUUGAAGCCAUUAAUGAGCAUUUCUUACUUCAUCCUUUUAUUAUCUAGCUUUGUAUUGUAAUAUUUGGUGUGUUGAUGACUUUGGACUACAAAGUUGGAAGACUUGUUGAGUAGUGUUUGUACUUGGCUCAAGUUGCUUAUGUGAUGUUUUAU